GAUGAACGCUGGCGGCAUGCCUAAUACAUGCAAGUCGAACGAGAGGAAGGAAAGCUUGCUUUUCUGAAUCUAGUGGCGAACGGGUGAGUAACACGUAGGUAACCUGCCCAUGUACCCGGGAUAACUUCCGGAAACGGAUGCUAAAACCGGAUAGGUAGCAGACAAGCAUUUGACUGCUAUUAAUGUGGCCAAGGUCAUGAACAUGGAGUGACCUGCGGUGCAGUAGCUAGUUGGUGAGGUAACGGCCCACCAAGGCGACGAUGCAUAGCCGGCCUGAGAGGGAGGACGGACACAUUGGGACUGAGACACGGCCCAAACUCCUACGGGAGGCAGCAGUAGGGAAUUUUCGUCAAUGGGGGGAACCCUGAACGAGCAAUGCCGCGUGAGUGAGGAAGGUCUUCGGAUCGUAAAGCUCUGUUGUAAGAGAAAAACGACAUUCAUAGGGAAUGAUGAGUGAGUGAUGGUAUCUUACCAGAAAGUCACGGCUAACUACGUGCCAGCCGCCGCGGUAA
rnacentral:rRNA from 1 species